UACAGAUGCCACUCAUUGAAGUGAGAGUUAUUAACACAGGGGGAUGGGGGAGACAGGGAAUGUUAAUUCAUGGGAUAGGGUCCCUGUUAAUAACUCUCACU